GCCUACUCUAGAUUCUAGGGUACUGUGUCUUCCCACGUCACCGACUCCCAUUUUGCCGACAAAUAAACUGGUUUUAUAAGAUAUUAAAAAUCUUCCCAUUUCGCCGACACAUAAAUCGGCUAUAUUACUAUUUUAAUUGAAAUAUUAUUGUUGCGAUGAAAUUAUUAUUACCAAAGAAAUUCCAGCGCCGCAAUCGCGGCAUGAGCGUAAAUAAAUAUAUAAAUUUAGUAUUACCGAAAAUACAAAAAUUAUUAACAAUAAAAAUAGGUAAUCAACGAUUAGAUGUAUGUUCGAAAGAAUUUUUCUUAUUAUUUUCAUACUUUAAGUUUUGUACAAUGACAAUUUUAAAAAACUAGUGUAAUCCCUGCAAAAAUAACAACGAAAACGAGUUGUUUUAACAUGAUCUAUAAAGAGAUGGAGUCAUGAAUAGGUGUACUUCAAACAACGUACGUCACAGGUAAGUAUUAACAAAAUAUAAUGGUGUCGGCGAAAUUGGAUGUUGACAAAAUGGGAGUCAGCUACGUGGGAAUAAACCGUAUAAAGUACCCACUCGAAGCGAGUAUUGGUGUUAUUGAUUUGUCGAUUCGUUCCAAACGGGUAACAAAAUUAUCGAAUACGUUAGUUGACCUACCUACGAAUCUGAUUUUUUUUUUUUUUUUGUGACAUUAAAUACUUAAUUUUACUUAAAUAUUGUACAUAUAUAUAUUAUUAUAGUUUUAAUAAAAAUAAUACGAUUGUUAGCACGAAUAUUUCUAUAAAAUGUAUGUUAAAUAAUAUUGUUAUUUACAGCUUGUUUUAUC